rnacentral:rRNA from 1 species
GACGUAGGGCGCGAGCGUUGUCCGGAUUUAUUGGGCGUAAAGAGCUCGUAGGCGGCUUGUUGCGUCGUCCGUGAAAACCCACGGCUUAACUGUGGGCUUGCGGUCGAUACGGGCGGGCUGGAGUUCGGUAGGGGAGACUGGAAUUCCUGGUGUAGCGGUGAAAUGCGCAGAUAUCUGGAGGAACACCGGUGGCGAAGGCGGCAUCCUGGACCAACACUGACACUGAGGAGCGAAAGCCAGGGGAGCAAACGGG